GGCGAGAUGGUGUAAUGGUACAGCACGAAAGUCUCAUUAGCUUUAGGUUUAGGUUCAAGUCCUGAUCUCGUUA